rnacentral:misc_RNA from 1 species
UGAAGCUAGGCUGAGACAACCCGGUUCCGCCCUAGGUCUUUGGCUUGAUAAAGAAGUUGAUCGGCGCGGGCGAGAAUGCUGUCCGCAGUAUCGUCCGCUCGCAACAUGGCCACACCGGCCGACAUUGUGACACUCAUCUCCUGCGAAAUCGCGCUCCAGUCGAGAGCGCCCACGAUGGCGCGCAGCCGAUCGACAGUCCGCAGCGCUGCGCCAUCGGACGUUUCCGGGAGAAUGAGCAGGAAUUCCUCGCCGCCAUA